AUCCCUUCUAAGGACUUUUAGCUAAGAGCAAGUGUAGUAUCUGUUCUUAUCAGUUAUAUCUGAUAUGUCCUCUAUUUGAGGACUCUACAUUAAAUGGAUUUUUGCAAUUGGGAGAUGGAAUAGGAGCUUGCUCCAUUCACUGCAUGCUUUGACCUGGUAUUGCAGUAAAAAAGAAAAAGAAAAAGAA
rnacentral:snRNA from 1 species